AGCGAACGCUGGCGGCGUGCUUAAGACAUGCAAGUCGAACGGCAGUCUUCGGACUGUAGUGGCGCACGGGUGAGUAACGCGUAACUGACCUACCCCAAAGUCGCGGAUAACGAUUCGAAAGAAUCGCUAAUACGUGAUGUGCUGUCAGAUUGUGUUCUGCCAGUAAAGAUUGAUUGCUUUGGGAUGGGGUUGCGUUCCAUCAGCUAGUUGGUGGGGUAAAGGCCCACCAAGGCGACGACGGAUAGCCGGCCUGAGAGGGUGGCCGGCCACAGGGGCACUGAGACACGGGUCCCACUCCUACGGGAGGCAGCAGUUAGGAAUCUUCCACAAUGGGCGAAAGCCUGAUGGAGCGACGCCGCGUGAGGGAUGAAGGUCUUCGGAUCGUAAACCUCUGAAUCAGGGACGAAAGACACUUCGGUGGGAUGACGGUACCUGAGUAAUAGCACCGGCUAACUCCGUGCCAGCAGCCGCCGUAACAC
rnacentral:rRNA from 1 species